UACGGAGGAUCCAAGCGUUAUCCGGAUUUAUUGGGUUUAAAGGGUGCGUAGGCGGGCUGAUAAGUCAGAGGUGAAAUCCUGCAGCUUAACUGUAGAAUUGCCUUUGAUACUGUUAGUCUUGAGUAUACAUGAAGUGGGCGGAAUGUGUCAUGUAGCGGUGAAAUGCAUAGAUAUGACACAGAACACCGAUAGCGAAGGCAGCUCACUAAACUAUAACUGACGCUGAUGCACGAAAGCGUGGGGAUCAAACAGG
rnacentral:rRNA from 1 species